rnacentral:rRNA from 1 species
UACGUAGGGUGCGAGCGUUAAUCGGAAUUACUGGGCGUAAAGCGUGCGCAGGCGGUUCGUUGUGUCCGAUGUGAAAGCCCCGGGCUUAACCUGGGAAUGGCAUUGGAAACUGGCGAGCUUGAGUGCGGCAGGAGGGGGGUGGAAUUCCGCGUGUAGCAGUGAAAUGCGUAGAGAUGCGGAGGAACACCGAUGGCGAAGGCAGCCCCCUGGGUCGACACUGACGCUCAGGCACGAAAGCGUGGGGAGCAAACAGG